AUUGAACGCUGGCGGCAUGCCUUACACAUGCAAGUCGAACGGCAGCAUGGAGAGCUUGCUCUCUGAUGGCGAGUGGCGAACGGGUGAGUAAUGCAUCGGAACGUACCGUGUAAUGGGGGAUAACGUAGCGAAAGUUACGCUAAUACCGCAUACGACCUGAGGGUGAAAGCAGGGGAUCGCAAGACCUUGCGUUAUCCGAGUGGCAGAUGUCAGAUUAGCUAGUUGGUGAGGUAAAGGGUCACCAAGGCGACGAUCUGUAGCGGGUCUGAGAGGAUGAUCCGCCACACUGGGACUGAGACACGGCCCAGACUCCUACGGGAGGCAGCAGUGGGGAAUUUUGGACAAUGGGGGCAACCCUGAUCCAGCCAUGCCGCGUGAGUGAAGAAGGCCUUCGGGUUGUAAAGCUCUUUCGGCCGGGAAGAAAUCGCACAGGCUAAUACUCUGUGUGGAUGACGGUACCGGCAUAAGAAGCACCGGCUAACUACGUGCCAGCCGCCGCGGUAA
rnacentral:rRNA from 1 species